UGCCGCGUGCCUUUUUGUUCAGUACAUGGCGAAUCAUUUAUCUUUUUUCAGAUGUUGCCUUCCAUAUUUUUUCUUGUCUACACACUCACCAUUUGUAACUCCAUAUUCAAAUUUCAUAAAAUUUGAAACAUGUUUGCUAUAUUUUUGCAAUUAACAGCAUUUAAUUCUAUUUUUCUGGAUGCAGUCAAAUUUGAACUACGACCUAGUGAAAUUGUUGGAAAAAUAUGUGAGAAAAAUGAUUUUCAUGUUACCCAACC
rnacentral:lncRNA from 1 species